rnacentral:tRNA from 1 species
GUCAGGAUGGCCGAGCGGUCCAAGGCGCUGCGUUCAGGUCGCAGUCCGGUCUUCCGGGCGUGGGCUUCGAAUCCCACUUCUGACA